ensembl:snRNA U1 U1 spliceosomal RNA
AAAAUUACCUGGCACGGGAGAUACUCUGAUCAUGAAGGUGGUUUUUCCAGGGUGAGAGUCAUCCAUUGCACUCUGGAUGUGCUGGCCCCUGUGAUUUCUCCAAAUGUGGGAAACUGGACUGCAAAAUUUGUGGUAGAGGGGGACUGUGUUUGUGCUUUCCCCUG